GACGAGUGGCGGACGGGUGAGUAAUGUCUGGGAAACUGCCUGAUGGAGGGGGAUAACUACUGGAAACGGUAGCUAAUACCGCAUAACGUCGCAAGACCAAAGAGGGGGACCUUCGGGCCUCUUGCCAUCGGAUGUGCCCAGAUGGGAUUAGCUAGUAGGUGGGGUAACGGCUCACCUAGGCGACGAUCCCUAGCUGGUCUGAGAGGAUGACCAGCCACACUGGAACUGAGACACGGUCCAGACUCCUACGGGAGGCAGCAGUGGGGAAUAUUGCACAAUGGGCGCAAGCCUGAUGCAGCCAUGCCGCGUGUAUGAAGAAGGCCUUCGGGUUGUAAAGUACUUUCAGCGGGGAGGAAGGGAGUAAAGUUAAUACCUUUGCUCAUUGACGUUACCCGCAGAAGAAGCACCGGCUAACUCCGUGCCAGCAGCCGCGGUAAUACGGAGGGUGCAAGCGUUAAUCGGAAUUACUGGGCGUAAAGCGCACGCAGGCGGUUUGUUAAGUCAGAUGUGAAAUCCCCGGGCUCAACCUGGGAACUGCAUCUGAUACUGGCAAGCUUGAGUCUCGUAGAGGGGGGUAGAAUUCCAGGUGUAGCGGUGAAAUGCGUA
rnacentral:rRNA from 1 species